CUGGAAUACUGGUGGUUCCGUUAAAAGUGCCAGUGGUGACUGUCCUCAGUGAACUUUCGAUAUACCGUGAAGAUGGAUUUUCUGAUGGAGCUGACAUCAAUUGUGGCAAAGAUGCCUAGUUCUCCACUUGGCUUUCUACCCCCUCUGAAUUGGUUUUAGAAACUCAUGGCCAACAUGAGUGUCGGCCCUGGAAAAGGAAGCUGAAAGAAACGACUGCCUUCCGAAGAUCUGUGGCACCUCUAACCCAGGGCCGUUUUGUAUAGAAAACAACUUGAAGUACUAAACCCAAGAAGAGUUCAUUGAAGGUGGCAUGACAAACUCGUUGCUCCACAGUGAUGGUCUCCCCCAUGAAGCGGCGCUGAAAGAUCACGUUAGCACAGUCCCAUGAUGUGAAAUACCACAAGUCUGCAAUUUUUCGGGCUCGAGAGCAUCGCUGGGCUGAGAGGAUGGAAAUCUUUCAGUAAUUAUACCAGUUUGUAUUCGUCUCACAUUUGGGACCAAAUACAAAACCGAUCCACUCUUUCUCCCUGUGAAUAUUCAUAAAAAACAAAGUGCCAAUUCUGGGCUAAUCAUGUAUGGAACCAAACACGUUGAUGAGUCCUAAGUAUAUACUGUCUGUAUGUAUACAUGUGAAUAUAUAUAUU